AUCGAGUUUUUGAACGCAAGUUGCGCCCGAAGCCUCGGCUUAGGGCACGCCUGCCUGGGCGUCACGCAUCGUCGCCACCCCCACCGCAAUGCGCGUCGUGGGGUGACGGAAGUUGGCCUCCCGUGUCUCCUUGCAGCGCGGCCGGCCUAAAUCAGAGUCCUCCGUUCGGAGCGUCACGACUAGUGGUGGUUGAAACUUCUUCCCGAUCGAAGUCGUGGCCCUUGCCGAAACGGGGCUGGCUCAAAGACCCUGGAGCCUCCGAGCCCUCGACCAUGACCCCAGGUCAGACGG
rnacentral:rRNA from 1 species